ACGAGUUUAUCAACUCCCAAACCCUAUGUGAACCUUACCACUUGUUGCUUCGGCGGAGUCGCGCCGGUGCCGCCCAGGCGGCCCGGGAUCACGCGCCCGCCGGAGACCAAAAACUCUUGAUUUUGCGAAAGCAGUAUUCUUCUGAGUGGCCGAAAGGCAAAAAACAAAUGAAUCA
rnacentral:misc_RNA from 1 species